rnacentral:rRNA from 1 species
GACGAACGCUGGCGGCGUGCCUAAUACAUGCAAGUAGAACGCUGAAGGAGGAGCUUGCUUCUCUGGAUGAGUUGCGAACGGGUGAGUAACGCGUAGGUAACCUGCCUGGUAGUGGGGGAUAACUAUUGGAAACGAUAGCUAAUACCGCAUAAUAGCAGUUGUUGCAUGAUAACUGUUUGAAAGGUGCAAUUGCACCGCUACCAGAUGGACCUGCGUUGUAUUAGCUAGUUGGUGGGGUAACGGCUCACCAAGGCGACGAUACAUAGCCGACCUGAGAGGGUGAUCGGCCACACUGGGACUGAGACACGGCCCAGACUCCUACGGGAGGCAGCAGGAGGGAAUCUUCGGCAAUGGACGGAAGUCUGACCGAGCAACGCCGCGGGAGGGAAGAAGGUUUUCGGAUCGUAAAGCUCUGUUGUAAGAGAAGAACGAGUGUGAGAGUGGAAAGUUCACACUGUGACGGUAUCUUACCAGAAAGGGACGGCUAACUACGUG